AGGGCGUUAGUAUAACGGUAUUAUGCCGGUCUCCAAAACCGCGCGAUGUGAGUUCGAGUCUCCCGCGCCCUGCCA
rnacentral:tRNA from 1 species